AUAAAAUGUGUGUGAGUCAAAGUGAGGCUGUGUUUGGAGGUGUUUGCGCACAGAGAUGAACACAUUUACCAUGUCUCUCUCUUUGCUACUGCUGCUGCUGGUUUACAGCACGCAAGCUACUCAUUUUUAUGGGACAGUGAUGACCUAUUACCCAGGAGACACUUAUGCAGAUGGAUCAGUUAUGGCGACUAUUCGAUACAAGCUGAACUUCCACCAAUGCACAGACAGUGACACAUGGAGUUGCCUCAGUGGUGACUGUGGCUCUGGGAACAACACACUAUAUGAGGUAAAACAGGAAAGCAGUGGAGAGUGGUGUCAGAGAGAGGGAAUCAUGACUCGACGGGCUCCCAGCAAUGCUCCCUUCAAGCUUUGGUUGAAUAGUGGUAACUGGAUUAAUGGCAUUGUAAAUGGCAUUGUAUCAUGGAGAGCUGUGACUCUGGUGGAACUGAGGAACAGAUCUGACACUGGCAAAGCCAACUCGUCACCCCAGACCACCAACAUACCUGCUGUGAGAGUUCCCUCAAACUGUAAGAGAAAUUUCGUCUUGUUGGCGUUUGACCCUGAUGGAGAUGUGGUUAAGUGCAGAAAUGGAGAUGCAUUACUGUCAGAGUGUAUUCCAUGCACUCCACCAUCUGUCCUCAGCCUCUCACCAUCUUGUACUCUCUCAUUCAGACCCACCAAUAGCAGUAAUGAAGGUCCAUAUGCAGUACAGCUGGUGAUGGAGGACUUUCCCCGGCAGAACAUAACCCUGACUCAAACCAAUGGGACACAGACUAAUCUAACUACCAACAAUGCAAUCAGCAAAAUACCGGUCCAGUUUGUUAUAAGGGUGGAUCCUGCAGUGCCAUCCUGCACAGACGGACUCUAUCUGCCCAAGAUCCUGCCUCCAACUCCAGCCAACGGAGCUCAGCUAUAUACCCCUGUUGGACAAACUCUAGAAAUCAGCAUCAAAGCAGAGGCAACAAAUUCCAUGAUCUCUGAGCUGCUCUACAGUGGGCCCUACACUUUAUUUCAAAAUAAAACAGGACCAGGAGAGUUCAUCCUCACGUGGACGCCAUCUGAGAGCGAAACGGGAGAAAGCCACCCCAUCUGUUUUGUUGUCCAGGCAGUUUCUGGUAUAGCGAAGUAUCACUCUGACUUUCGAUGCGUCAUUGUGACUGUUGAAAAGGUUUAUGUCGCUGCCCUGAGUGCGAGGAUCUCUUUUUCAUUGCCUUUUACUGCAGACAACGUUAACAGUGUCAUCAUACAGAAGAUUAAAGAAGAACUGGAGAAACAAGGUCUGCCGCCAGAUGCGAGUCUACGCCUAGUGAGAGGAGACCAAAUAUAAAAAACAACCACAGCGCCCUCUCACUACACAUGAGUGCACAGCUCAAUAGCCUGAGAGUGUUUCUCCUGGGUGUUAUAAUGUGACACUUCUCAGGGUGAUUAUGUUUAUUAUCUGCACUCUGUUCAGAAAAAUAAAUACCAGAUUAUGAGCAUAUUUGGCAUUUGAGUCUGUAACUCUGUUUUAAUAACAGAUGUAAACUGAUCAGACUUGUACCUGAAAUGUUUUUCUCCAGUUUUUAAAAUGUAAUUUUUUAAAGAAUAUUUUUUAUUGUAUGGCAUUGGUUUCAGUUGAUUAUGUGUUGCAUGUGUAUAUCUGGUGGAUUUCAUGUAUAAGUAACUGCACUUUGCAGCAUCUUUCUCUAACUUCUUUAAUCACUGUGAGGCUCUCUUCUGCAUGUGAAAUGAAUUAAACUGGGCCUUGAGUGUUACAAUAACUGAUGUUAAGAUGCUCACAGUGAAUUCUGAGUAAAUAUCCAUCAUUACCAGUUAUCCAGUUCAGGGUUGUGUGAGAGCUGGAGAACAAUCUGUCAGUGAAUAAGAGGCAGAGUAAACCCUGGAUUGGUAGCUGUUCCAUCACACAAAAGACACACCUAUAGCUAACUUGGAAUCACCAAUAAACCGAGCAUGUGCGUUUUUGGACUGUGAGAGGAAGCCUGAGUACAUGAAAAGAACUCGAGGCAGGCACAGGGAGAAUAUGCCUAACUCAACGCAGGAGCUGACUCUGUCUCUGUAGAGCACUGCAAAAGAACUUCUGGUGGAGGUGUUGAAGAAGUUGCUGUUCUUUAGCUGUAUUAAGUAUUUAAGAAUGAGGCAUUUAAAACAUUUAGUUAGACAUUUAAACAUCUGCAAAGAAUUCAAAAUGACUAAAAAGAAAUAUGAACAUAAAAAAACACAAAAGACAAAGUGAACAAAGUGUCAUGGUCCCGGGUCAUUUGACCCAGUGUUUUGUGUUGUUGUAUUUUUAUGGCUAAGUUCAUUUGGUUUGUCUUGAGUUCGUUCCUACAUUGCCUAGGCUGUUCUGUUUAGUUCAUUGAUUAUUUAGUAAUUUUCCCUUGUGUCUUUGCCUUCUGUGUGUCUUUGUUUAAAUAGGUUGUGUGAGUUCUUGUGACUUGUUCCUCUCCUCGUGUUUCAUCCAUUUUUUCAGAGUCUGUCAUGUCUCUCUCUUUCCCCCUCAUGUUCCUUCGUGUUCCCUCACUCCCUCUCCUCUGCCUUUCCUCCACUCCUGUGUCAUGUUCCUCAGUUUCCUAUAUUGUGAAAGUCCGGUGUUUCCAUGUUUGGUAUGCUUCCCCUAUGGCAUCAUGUUUAUUCGUGUCAGCUGUGUUCCCCGUGUGUUCUCACUUCCUCAUUAUCCUCUGGUGUUUUUAUGUCAGCUUCUCCCUUGGUCCUGUGUUGCGAUCUCCCUUAUUUUUGUGCAUUUCCCUGUGUGCCUCUCUGUGUGCUUCGUUCAUAUACAUUUCCAGUUUAGUUUGUAUUUCCUUUGGUCCGGCAAUAAAGCUCUGUUUGAGUUACUUUUGCCUCCGUGAAUCUGCAUUUGGGUCCUUUCCCGCCUGCUGCACAGCCAAAUUCAUGACACAAAGACC
ensembl:lncRNA